rnacentral:rRNA from 1 species
AUUGAACGCUGGCGGCAGGCUUAACACAUGCAAGUCGAGCGGGGUGAUGGUGCUUGCACUAUCACUUAGCGGCGGACGGGUGAGUAAUGCUUAGGAAUCUGCCUAUUAGUGGGGGACAACAUCUCGAAAGGGAUGCUAAUACCGCAUACGUCCUACGGGAGAAAGCAGGGGAUCACUUGUGACCUUGCGCUAAUAGAUGAGCCUAAGUCGGAUUAGCUAGUUGGUGGGGUAAAGGCCUACCAAGGCGACGAUCUGUAGCGGGUCUGAGAGGAUGAUCCGCCACACGGGGACUGGGACACGGCCCAGACUCCUGCGGGAGGCAGCAGUGGGGAAUAUUGGGCAAUGGGGGGAACCCUGAUCCAGCCAUGCCGCGUGUGUGAAGAAGGCCUUAUGGUUGUAAAGCACUUUAAGCGAGGAGGAGGCUCUUUUGGUUAAUACCCAAGAUGAGUGGACGUUACUCGCAGAAUAAGCACCGGCUAACUCUGUGCCAGCAGCCGCCGUAA